AUGGACAUGACGGUUGCAUACUUUGAAAGCCGGCAAGAUGAGAAUCCUGAAUUCUACUAUGCAAAAAUAGUUGAUGAGGAAACAAACUCUGUCACUGGACUGUUUUGGGUUGAUGGGAGGACAAGGGCAUUGUACCCUAAGUACAGAGAUUGUAUUUUCUUUGACACCACUUUUACAAAUAGGUACAAUAUGCCAUUUGCUCCGAUUGUUGGCCUCAACAACCAUUUGCAGACAAUUUUGUUGGGGUGUGCUUUGCUUCCGAAUGAACAAAUUGAAACCUUCAAGUGGGUAUUCCAGAACUUUUUGAUUGCGAUGAACAAUGUACACCCAUUGAACAUCAUGACAGACCAAGACAAGGCAAUGGAAACAGCCAUUUUUGAAGCCUUACCAAAUACAGUGCAUAGGUGUUGCAAAUGGAAUGUCCAGCGGAAAGCGAGAGAGAAGUUGGGCAGAAUACUUAGCAGGGAUGAAGUAUUUGAGCAAGCUUUCUACACAUGCAAAAAUGUUGAGAAGUUUCUCAAAUUACUGUGA
rnacentral:rRNA from 1 species